rnacentral:rRNA from 1 species
CACGUAGGCACCAAGCGUUGUCCGGAUUUAUUGGGCGUAAAGAGCUCGUAGGCGGUUCAGUAAGUCGGGUGUGAAAACUCUGGCUCAACCCAGAGACGCCACCCGAUACUGCUGUGACUUGAGUACGGUAGGGGAGUGGGGAAUUCCUGGUGUAGCGGUGAAAUGCGCAGAUAUCAGGAGGAACACCGGUGGCGAAGGCGGAUCUCUGGGCCUUGCCUGACGCUGAGGCGCGAAAGCUAGGGGAGCGAACAGG